CCGUCAAUUCCUUUAAGUUUCACCCUUGCGGGCGUACUCCCCAGGUGGAUUACUUAUCGCUUUCGCUAAGACGCUGGCUGUGUAUCGCCAACAUCGAGUAAUCAUCGUUUACAGUGUGGACUACCAGGGUAUCUAAUCCUGUUUGAUCCCCACACUUUCGUGCCUCAGCGUCAGUUACAGUCUAGUAAGCUGCCUUCGCUAUCGGUGUUCUUGACGAUAUCUAAGCAUUUCACCGCUACACCGUCAAUUCCGCCUACCUCGUCUGUACUCAAGUCUUACAGUAUCAAUGGCACCUCAAUAGUUAAGCUAUUGUAUUUCACCACUGACUUAUAAAACCGCCUACGCACCCUUUAAACCCAAUAAAUCCGGACAACGCUUGCCACCUACGUAUUACCGCGGC
rnacentral:misc_RNA from 1 species